rnacentral:rRNA from 1 species
CCUACGGGAGGCAGCAGUGGGGAAUAUUGCGCAAUGGGCGAAAGCCUGACGCAGCGACGCCGCGUGAGGGAUGAAGGUCUUCGGAUCGGAAACCUCUGUCAGCAGGGAAGAACGGUCACUGGGCUAAUCAGCAGUGAAUUGCAGGUACCUGCAAAGGAAGCACCGGCUAACUCCGUGCCAGCAGCCGCGGUAAUACGGAGGGUGCGAGCGUUAAUCGGAAUUACUGGGGUAAACGCGCUCGUAGGCGGUAUGUCAAGUCAAGGGUGAAAUCCCCGCGCUCAACGUGGGAACCGCCUUUGAAACUUGCAAACUGGAGUGUGUGAGAGGAUAGUGGAAUUCCAGGUGUAGGAGUGAAAUCCGUAGAUAUCUGGAGGAACAUCAGUGGCGAAGGCGACUAUCUGGCACAUAACUGACGCUGAGGAGCGAAAGCGUGGGUAGCAAACAGGAUUAGAUACCCCUGUAGUC